rnacentral:rRNA from 1 species
CAGUCGCCGCGGGAAUACGGAGGGUGCAAGCGUUAAUCGGAAUUACUGGGCGUAAAGCGCACGCAGGCGGUUUGUUAAGUCGGGUGUGAAAUCCCCGAGCUUAACUUGGGAACUGCAUUUGAAACUGGCAAGCUAGAGUCUUGUAGAGGGGGGUAGAAUUCCAGGUGUAGCGGUGAAAUGCGUAGAGAUCUGGAGGAAUACCGGUGGCGAAGGCGGCCCCCUGGACAAAGACUGACGCUCAGGUGCGAAAGCGUGGGGAGCAAACAGGAUUAGAUACCCGCGUAGUCCCUGUCUCUUAUAC